AGUGAACGCUGGCGGCAGGCCUAACACAUGCAAGUCGAACGGCAGCACAAGAGAGCUUGCUCUCUGGGUGGCGAGUGGCGGACGGGUGAGGAAUGCAUCUGAAUCUGCCCAUUUGCGGGGGAUAACCCCGGGAAACCGGGACUAAUACCGCAUACGACCUACGGGGGAAAGCAGGGGAGCUUCAGACCUUGCGCAGAUGGAUGAGCCGAUGCCGGAUUAGCUAGUUGGUGGGGUAAAGGCUCACCAAGGCGACGAUCCGUAGCUGGUCUGAGAGGGUGAUCAGCCACACUGGAACUGAGACACGGCCCAGACUCCUACGGGAGGCAGCAGUGGGGAAUCUUGCGCAAUGGGCGCAAGCCUGACCCAGCCAUGCCGCGUGUGUGAAGAAGGCCUUCGGAUUGUAAAGCACUGUUGUUGGGAAAGAACAGCAGCCGGUUAAUACCCGGUUGUCAUGACGGUACCCAAAGAGUAAGCCCCGGCUAACUUCGUG
rnacentral:rRNA from 1 species